rnacentral:rRNA from 1 species
CAGCCAUGCCGCGUGAAGGAUGAAGGCCCUCUGGGUUGUAAACUUCUUUUAUCUGGGACGAAAAAAGGGUAUUCUUACUCACUUGACGGUACCAGAGGAAUAAGCACCGGCUAACUCCGUGCCAGCAGCCGCGGUAAUACGGAGGGUGCAAGCGUUAUCCGGAUUCACUGGGUUUAAAGGGAGCGUAGGUGGGCUGAUAAGUCAGUGGUGAAAUCUCCGGGCUUAACCCGGAAACUGCCAUUGAUACUAUCAGUCUUGAAUUAUCUGGAGGUAAGCGGAAUAUGUCAUGUAGCGGUGAAAUGCUUAGAUAUGACAUAGAACACCAAUUGCGAAGGCAGCUUGCUACGGAUUGAUUGACACUGAGGCUCGAAAGCGUGGGGAUCAAACAGGAUUAGAUACCCUGGUAGUCCACGCCCUAAACGAUGGAUACUCGACAUCAGCGAUACACUGUUGGUGUCUGAGCGAAAGCAUUAA